rnacentral:rRNA from 1 species
CGCGUAGGCGGUCUUGAAAGCGGCGUGUGAAAGCCCGGAGCUCAACUCCGGAACUGCAUGCCGAACUUCAGGACUAGAGGACAGGAGGGGAGUGUGGAACUCUAGGUGGAGCGGUGAAAUGCGUAGAUAUCUAGAGGAACGCCGGUGGCGAAAGCGACACUCUGGCCUGCCCCUGACGCUGAGGCGCGAAAGCGUGGGUAGCAAACAGGAUUAGAUACCCUGGUAGUCC